ensembl:lncRNA
UGUUGUUUUUUUUACUAUUUUUUAUCUUUUUUAUUUUUUUACAUACUUUUGUAUAAUAAUGUUCAAUAGUUUUUUGUAAUAAAAAUUGUAAUGUUUCUUCACAGAAAUUGGUAUUCAGAAGCAAACCUGCACUGAGAUUUAUUCACUGGAGCUGACAAGUGACAACUAUCCCAAGCUGGGAAGCAUUAGCCAGGACAAGCUCAAUGUCAAUGAUGGCAAGGAGCCGCAGCAGAGUAAUAGCUCUGAGAAACCAGCCCAUCUAAAUGCAUCCAGGGCUCUUAUGGACUUCUCUGAUGAUAUAUGUGCUGUAAUGUGUGAAAAAUGACAGCUACUAUUGCAGAUGUGGCAAGGACGCGGUAUGUAUCUUGAAUAAAAAUAUGCAUGCUUUAACCUUUGAUUGAAUGUUUUUAUUAUUGCACAGUUCAUGUGCAUGUGACCAACCCAUACGGUCGAUGACUCAUCGUGCAGAUGAACUACCUGAAACGUCAGUGUCGCUGGACUCCAUCUGCACUGCUUGACUGCUGGGGUUCUGUUAGGCAUGCAGAGAGGGGAAUCCCGCCUAAGACGGAGUGUGCAUGAGCGUUUCUGCGGCUGCGCGGAUGUUCCCGAACAGCCGAACACUGAUGAGGAUGACUC